rnacentral:lncRNA from 1 species
GGCGGUCUUGGUUUAUAGCAUGAGGUUCCAUAACUAUGUGUUCAGGAUUGACACAGAGAGUUUGGUGACAAAUAUGGCUACAUUCUACUUUAUUGUUGUUCUCAUCUAUUUGUGGCAUAUCAUAUCUUAAUCAUGUAUGCCAGUCUAUGUGCAGUCUCCCUUUUUCCUCUCCCCCUGGCCAUUUCACAACCUGUAUGCCAUAUCCACAUUUCCCUUUUUUUGCUCCGACCCAUUCAACACAUCCCUUCCGAUUCCCCAUAACUUCA